GCAGCAACGACCAUAGUACACAUCAGCCAGUUUGAGCGCAGGACUUGUUUUUGUGUAUUUGUAUUCACUUUUGUAUCAUACAGCUAUGUUACAAUGCUGCCCACCACCCAAUGUGUCCCCUAUUAAGGGUUGAUAAGUAUGUAGGGGUUUAUAAAAAUACCCCUUUCUGUCUCAUUAGAGAUAUCUUUGCCAGAAGCUCAAGGAAGCAAGGUGAAUAGUCAGUGUAGGACCCACCUAAGAGGUCUGCCUUGACGUGGCAGGU